UCAGAGCAAAAACGUUUUUUUUUUCCUUUUCGAGAUCUCUCUCUACUAAUGGCGUGAACUCUCCACACCUUAAAUCUCGAAUCCUUAAUUUCUCAUCGGAUCUUACCUUCAUCAUCAUUUAGUUUUAUCAAAUUCUCCCCUAAUUUCAUCAUUUCUUGCCCUAAUUCACAUUCACUUCGGUUGUAUCGAUCGACAUCACAUACUGUUGUCAAAGCCAUAAGCUCCAAUCAGGUAAAUGAUAAUGGAGAUCAACAUGAUAAAAUAUCGCUGAAGAAGACGGUUUCAUGGGUAAAAUCGUUGCUGGAUUUUGCUGGAACUAUUUUCCUUCCAUUAGCUCUUGUGAGUGGAGUAGCUUUAAGGCUUGUAAAUCCUACUCUUGGUUGUCUUGCACAUCAAUAUUCAGUAUCCAAGUUCAGCACAUAUGGGAUUUUCUUAUAUCAGGGCUGUUGUUGGGGUGAGGAAAUUGGAUCUACCACUGAAGCCUGGCCUGCAGAAUUGUUGGGCUAUUAACAAAGAGAUCCUGAAUAUUCACAGCUUGCUGGUGGGAAUACCGCUCUGGCUCUUGCAAUUACAGUGAUAUCUAAUCUUUUUGGCAUUUUGACUGUAAGUAUCCUUAUUAAAGGCAUGCCAGAUACGCAAUGAUUAGCGAGUUACAGAAGGCUUUUCUCUUUUUAUACUUCGCUUGCCUGUUCUUCGCUUUGUAGGUGUGGCAGAAUUCGUUUAUCAAAACCGCAAGAAGUUAUCUAUGCUUAGUGCAAUCUUACUUGGUCUCAUAAGUCAAUUUGGACAUAUUUAUUAUAUUCUUUAUUGAGGUUUCAUUAGCUAAAAUGUAAAACUAUAUAUGUAAUUAGCAAAUAUGUUUGAAAUUUAAGUGUUAGGGGGAUUUGGUUUCUUGUACUGAUCAGCUCAAAUUUUAAAGGUUCGGCACUAAUUGUCGGCGGAUGAGCUGAUAUUUUUCCCUGGCAUAUACUCCUGAUUCAGUUUGCUCAGCAUUUGACCUUCGAAUUUAAUGGGUGAAUCUGCAAUCUUAUGCUGAUAAUUAUGGCUAAGUUUACCUCAGUAUCCACUAGCCACCAAUAGCAGCUCUUUAUUUGCUGAAAAUUUCCUACACUGGAAGUUUGAUCGAUUUUAUGUAACGCUUACUCUAAUCCCCUAUACUCAAGAUGAGCAGAAAUAGUUAUUUGUAUGAAAACGAAUCAAAUUUACUUAUUCAGCCCUAAAAUAUGAUGUGAUGGGUUUCUAAGCCCCUGCAUCACAAUGUUAGGAGAUUAUACCAUCACCUUGUAUUUGGGCAUAACAUAAUUGUUCACACAGUAAAUGUCUAGUCGUUUUCUUGAAAUGACGACAUGACUCAAUUCAUCUAUCGCAGGGUUUCACAUCUCAUUCUACUAGUAUUUAAUACAAUUGCAGUUCAGAGCCUAUCAGUUGCUACUGGUGGUAAAGAUUCGGUUCUCUCAGAGAAAGGGAAUGCUCGUGUGCUCAUAAUCAUUGCUAGCCAGAGAGGCUGUUUUGCUCAAACGUCACCGGUGGUGACUUCCGCGUUAGAUGGGUUCAACAUAUGCAUAUUUGCUUAUGGGCAGACAGGUACUGGCAAACUGGCAAGACUUUUACAAUGGAAGGGACUUCAGAUGAUAGAGGAGUCAAUUAUAGGACCUUGGAAGAGCUCUUUCGGAUAUCAGAGGAGCGAAGCGAUACCAUGCGCUAUGAGCUAUUUGUUAGCAUGUUAGAAGUCUAUAAUGAAAGAAUCCGUGAUCUUCUUGUGGACGAGUCCAACCAACAUGCCAGAAAGUAAGGCGGCCUCUUCAACCCUUUUAAUUUUAUGAAGGCUGAUUUAUGUAAUCUGUUUCUAAAAAAUAUUAGCAAAGUAUUUUCGUUGGUUAAUGUAUUCAAGGUUGGAGAUAAAGCAAUCAGCCGAGAGAACACAAGAAGCUAGUUGAAGCUAGUGUUCACAAUACAGUUGAGGUGUGGGAGCAGCUAAAGACUAGAAGUCGAAAGAGAACUGUUGGAUUGUAAUGAGCUUAGUAGCCACUCUCAUUGGUAAGCAACAAUACAUCUUAUGUUCUAGAAGAAAUUGGUGAUUCUAUCGCCUCUUAGAUUAUCGGAAGAUCAUUAUUAUGGGUAUCCAGUUUAUCCACCAAGUAUAAGUUCCAAUAGUUUCAUGAUCCUUUCCUUGUUCAAAGGGAUAAUAGCAUGUGUAAGCUAGAAAGGGCAUCACAAGGAGUUUAAAUUGCCAUCUAUGUCAAUUCAUGUAUACUAAAUAUUCAGGUGUAUCUAAUUGGGUGUACUUGAUGGAAAAUGUGGUGGGUAGCAGAUUGGCGAUUUCGUUUCUCUGUUUUUGUUAUAGCAGAUCAGCGAUUUUGUUUGUCCUGCUGUUCCUGCAUCAUGCCUGUAGUUUUCAUUCUGGUUCUCAUCUUAUAGGAGAUAUACUGUCUCA